GAUGAACGCUAGCGGCAGGCUUAAUACAUGCAAGUCGAGGGGCAGCAUGACUGUAGCAAUACGGUUGAUGGCGACCGGCAAACGGGUGCGGAACACGUACAGAACCUUCCUUCGAGCGGGGAAUAGCCCAGAGAAAAUUGGAUUAAUACCCCAUAGUAUAGCGGAGUGGCAUCACUCUGUUAUUAAAGAUUUAUCACUUGAAGAUGGCUGUGCGGCUGAUUAGGUCGUUGGCGGGGUAACGGCCCACCACGCCUGCGAUCAGUAACUGGUGUGAGAGCACGGCCGGUCACGCGGGCACUGAGACGCGGGCCCGACUCCUACGGGAGGCAGCAGUAAGGAAUAUUGGUCAAUGGACGAAAGUCUGAACCAGCCAUGCCGCGUGAAGGAUGAAGGUCCUCUGGAUUGUAAACUUCUUUAAUAUGGGACGAAAAAAGGCUUUUCUAAGUCGUCUGACGGUACCAUUUGAAUAAGCACCGGCUAACUCCGUGCCAGCAGCCGCGGUAACAC
rnacentral:rRNA from 1 species